UAUGACAUCACGAUCGGAUCCCGGUAUAUCAACUGAAAUUUAUCCAAAGCUCCGGCUGCAAGGAAAAAAAUGAUAUUCACCUCCAAAAUGGCGAGGGAGCAGGCACGGAAGCAUGCGCGCAGCUUCGAGCACUCUCUUCAGGCGGAGUAGCUCUUUUUCCUGAACUUGGCCGAUCCUUCGAGCAUAUUAAGAUAUCCGAGGAUCACAAUUUUCCGUAGUGCAAACGCACCGCACCCCGGAAAAGUACACGUCUCGUACGUGUCACGCACGUACGCACACACGCGCGAGACGCGACAAUCCGCGGCAACGCAACAAUACGGCACCCACCGUCGGCUCAGACACGAGAAUUUGCAAAUUUUUUGACGCCUUUUCGCCUGGCCUGGGUGUAUUCUAUGUUUGACGAUGUAUUACUUACAAUCUUCUUGCUGGGAUAAAAACCUAAGAGCAGAAAUUUCUGCAAACGUACAUCCUCCAAUGAAAAAGACCAUUACCAAUUUUGGUGGUUCAGAAUUGGAAUCUUCACUCGUAAUAGAAUUUCCUACAAAACAAUGUGGGUAAAAAAGAUAUAAAUUAAUUAAAAAAUUUGAGCUACUACAAACAAAUUUCGUACUUCGUCCAGAAGAUGGAACAUUAACUGGAACACUAUUUACAGUAGGACCUGGUAAUAAACCCAUUACAUCACUUAAGCCCAACCAUCCAUUCGGUUGCACAAGAUGUUCUGCUAAUCGAAUACUUAAUGGUGCAUAUAUCGAAUGUACGUAACUGAUGUCUUUUGGAGUAAUUUCACUUUCAUCUUCAACUGUAAGCCUUAAUGCUUUCCGUAAAAUAGAAUAUUGACGAUUA